rnacentral:rRNA from 1 species
GCUGCAUGGCUGUUGUCAGCUUGUGUUGUGAAAUGUUGGGUUGAGUCCCGCAACGAGCGCAACCCUUUUCCUUGUUUGCCAGCAUUCGGGUGGGAACUCCAGGGAGACUACCGGUGAUAAACCGGAGGAAGGUGGGGAGACGUCAAGUCAUCAUGGCCCCUACGAGUAGGGAUACACACUGCUUUCAAUGGCGCAUACAGAGGGCGGCCAACUUGCGAAAGUGAGCGAAUCCCAAAAAGUGCGUCGUAGUCCGGAUUGGAGUCUGCAACUCGACUCCAUGAAGUAGGAAUCGCUAGUAAUCGUGGAUCAGAAUGCCACGGUGAAUAUGUUCCCGGUCCUUGUACACUCCGCCCGUCACACCAUGGGAGUGGGCUGCAAAAGAAGUGGGUAGUUUCACCUUGGGGAGGAC